rnacentral:tRNA from 1 species
GCCUGUGUAGCUCAGCUGGUAGAGCAACGGUAUCGUAAACCGUGGGUCGUCGGUUCGAACCCGACCACAGGCU